rnacentral:rRNA from 1 species
GACGAACGCUGGCGGCGUGCUUAACACAUGCAAGUCGAACGGAAAGGCCCUGCUUUUGUGGGGUGCUCGAGUGGCGAACGGGUGAGUAACACGUGAGUAACCUGCCCUUGACUUUGGGAUAACUUCAGGAAACUGGGGCUAAUACCGGAUAGGAGCUCCUGCUGCAUGGUGGGGGUUGGAAAGUUUCGGCGGUUGGGGAUGGACUUGCGGCUUAUCAGCUUGUUGGUGGGGUAGUGGCUUACCAAGGCUUUGACGGGUAGCCGGCCUGAGAGGGUGACCGGCCACAUUGGGACUGAGAUACGGCCCAGACUCCUACGGGAGGCAGCAGUGGGGAAUAUUGCACAAUGGGCGUAAGCCUGAUGCAGCAACGCCGCGUGCGGGAUGACGGCCUUCGGGUUGUAAACCGCUUUCGCCUGUGACGAAGCGUGAGUGACGGUAAUGGGUAAAGAAGCACCGGCUAACUACGUG